CCUACGGGGGGCAGCAGUGAGGAAUAUUGGUCAAUGGACGAGAGUCUGAACCAGCCAAGUAGCGUGAAGGAUGACUGCCCUAUGGGUUGUAAACUUCUUUUAUAUGGGAAUAAAAUGUUCCACGUGUGGGAUUUUGUAUGUACCAUAUGAAUAAGGAUCGGCUAACUCCGUGCCAGCAGCCGCGGUAAUACGGAGGAUCCGAGCGUUAUCCGGAUUUAUUGGGUUUAAAGGGAGCGUAGGUGGAUUGUUAAGUCAGUUGUGAAAGUUUGCGGCUCAACCGUAAAAUUGCAGUUGAAACUGGCAGUCUUGAGUACAGUAGAGGUGGGCGGAAUUCGUGGUGUAGCGGUGAAAUGCUUAGAUAUCACGAAGAACUCCGAUUGCGAAGGCAGCUCACUGGACUGCAACUGACGCUCAUGCACGAAAGUGUGGGUAUCGAACAGGAUUAGAUACCCUUGUAGUC
rnacentral:rRNA from 1 species